GCUAGGUGUGGUGGUGCACGCCUGUAAUCUCAGCAGCUUGGGAGGCUGAGACAGGAGGAUUGCGAGUUCAAAGCCAGCCUUAGCAACGGCAAGGUGCUAAGUAACUCAGUGAGACCCUCUCUCUA
rnacentral:sRNA from 1 species